UUGACCCGCUUCUCUUAUCCUAGAAUGAUCCAUGCUUAUAUAUAUAGCUUUUGAUCCUCCAAAUAUAUAACAUAUUAAGCUCUUGAGCACAAGGAAAGUGUAUCAAAACUCGAAAACAAAACUCGAAAGCAACAUGGGAAAAGCAUUGGAUAUUUUACUAGGAAGAAAAUCUUCCAAGUUUAGUUUGCUAGAGCAUGCUAUCACUAGGAACUCAUAUCUCAAGAACCGGCAACAAGCAGUCUUCUCCUUUUCUCAGUCUGAUGUUAUCCAACUCCUCAACCUCGGUCAUCAAGAACAAGCUCUUCUUCGAGUUGAGCAUGUGAUGAAGAGCAAGAACAUGUUGGAUGCUUUUGACAUGAUAGAAUCUUACUGCCAUCUUCUUAAGCAAAACAUGUCAUUGAUUGAAAAAAAACAAAGAAUGCCCUGAUGAUCUAAAGGAGGCCAUAGGAAGCUUAAUUUACGCGUCUUCAAGGUUUGGAGAUUUUCCUAAACUACUGCACAUCCGGGAUUUUUUCAGUUCAAAGUUUGGGUAGGAAUUUGUGUCUCAAUCACUUGAUUCUCCUAGAAAUUUUGGUGUCAAUGAAAAGAUUAUACAGAAGCUAUCAAGAAGAAGACCGAGUUUGGAAACCCAAACGAGCUUUCUUAGGGAAAUUGCAUCCAACAAUGGCAUCAGUUUGCAGUUAUGCUGAGAUGUUUUUCUUAAUAACUCCAUUCCUAAAAUAUGCAUGUACAGCAUUUCCGACUGAACCUUCGAAGGCAAAAAACAGGGCUAAUCUUAUUUUUCAUAAUAACUCCAUUCCUAAGAUAAGGAAUUUGGUCUGUUCCUUAACGUACAUAUUUGUGAUCGAAGACUGAAGAACGAGGUUGAAACACAUUGCAACUUAAAGGGGCCGGGGUUUCUCUAUGGUUGAUCUCACUCGGAACAGGAUAACUAUGCAGCUGUGGAAGUUCCACCAUUUGGACGUGAAACUGUAUAGUAUAACCACAAUCUUAUAUGAAGCAAAAGCUAUCAUGGUGUUUUAAUAAUUUUAUGUUCUUGUAUGAUAAUCAAUAAAUACUUGUAAAUUUUUGUAUAAUAAUAAUAAUAACCAUAUAAUUUAGUACCUCUUAGUCUAGCC